GCAACUUAAUAGUACCAUUUCUUUUUUCUCCUCAUUUGGCAGAUGGGUUCCGUUGAAGAACAUCACCAUGGCGAUUUCAAUGAAGUUGAAUCUGCUAAUCAGAUAAUGGGCAGAAGAUGUGCCCUGGAUUUUGAAUUUUUGGUGUUGUAAUUUUGUCAUUAUCGUCAUGUGCCCAAUUAUUUAUGAAUUGGGUCGGGAUGGCAGUCAAGGACCCAAAAGUCGGGCAAUCUAAGUCCAAGGACCUUAAAGCUAAAGAGCUGCUGAAGAAAUCAUUCAAUCAGAGUGCACAGGCUUUGUUCACUUCUUCCAAGCUCAUCAAGAGAGACCAUCAAGAUCCUGAAGGAAAAACAUGACCAAGUGACAAAGAUGGAGUUGGAGGCCAGCCUUGUUAUUGAGCUUGACCAAGCUGAACAGGAUAGGCACAAGGCUACUGCAGCCAAGACACAGCUCCGUCUCAUCCAAGAACAACUGGCCAUAACGCAAGGAUCUUGUUGAGGCGAAAGCCAAGUUCACCAGGUUCAGCUCAGAGCUGGAUCAUGCUCAGGGAGGGAGAGCGGGCAGCGGUUGAGAUGAGUAGAAGCAACUCAAAGUAGAGGCAUAGAAGAGUGGGAGCACAUCCACGCAAUCUUGAACUCAAAGUAGAGGCAAGAAGCGCGGCUACAUGAUGCAUGUAAUGCGUGGAUGCAUGGAUCCAUGUUAUCGUUGUGUUAGUUUGUAAAUCAUAUUUUAACGUCCCAAUUUUCUUUUAUUUCGUUUGUUAA